CGUCCGUCUGAGCAUUCAAAACGCACUGUCGACACAACUGCUUUCACUUUCAAGCACAUUUUCGCCUAGGGCUCCGUUCAUACAGGUGGUGAUGACGGUGCGGUUCGCAGCAUCAGCCAAAAUGCAAAUGCCAUCGGCUACCGGCAGCUGUCUCCGGAUUGCAACAAGGGAAGUGAGUGGUUGACCCCUUGUGUUUUACGGGCACAAUAUUGGUGAGCCAGUAACGGAUGGGCGGGCGAUAUGUUCCAUUGCAGGAGACAGUUCAUCCAGAUCCGGACAAUUAUCUACAGGAAGCUCGUUUCGUGGC
rnacentral:sRNA from 2 species